UGGGGAAUUUUGGACAAUGGGGGCAACCCUGAUCCAGCCAUGCCGCGUGUGUGAAGAAGGCCUUCGGGUUGUAAAGCACUUUCGGCCGGAACGAAAUCGCGCGGGUGAAUAACACGCGUGGAUGACGGUACCGGAAGAAGAAGCACCGGCUAACUACGUGCCAGCAGCCGCGGUAAUACGUAGGGUGCGAGCGUUAAUCGGAAUUACUGGGCGUAAAGUGUGCGCAGGCGGCCGAGCAAGUCGAGUGUGAAAGCCCCGAGCUUAACUUGGGAACUGCGCUCGAAACUACUUGGCUGGAGUGUGGCAGAGGAAGGUGGAAUUCCACGUGUAGCGGUGAAAUGCGUAGAGAUGUGGAGGAACACCGAUGGCGAAGGCAGCCUUCUGGGCCAACACUGACGCUCAUGCACGAAAGCGUGGGGAGCAAACAG
rnacentral:rRNA from 1 species